AGGGCGGGGUCUCAGGGGGAGCAGGCCGGAGGAGGAGCUGGCUCCUGCGUUGGAGAUGCAUGGGCGAGGGACCAAUUCGGAAGCAGAGUCCUCUGAGUGGCAGUUCGUGGGCGGGGUCUAGAGGUGGAUCCGGCGCGGUCAGUUAUCCGUUGGGGACGGGUGGGCGGAACCGGGUUAUGAGAUCCCGGAGGACAGAGACGCGGCUAAGGGCCCCAGCGGGCGCUGUCAGUUGGUGCGCGGCCGAGGGGCGUGGCACGGGAGCGCCGUUGGUUGGUGCGUGGCCGAUGGGCGUGGCGCGGGGGCGCCGUUGGUUGGUCGGCGGAGGGCGGGGGCGGGCCAUGGCCCUGCUGCUCUGCCUGGGCAUGACCGCGGCGCUGGCCCGCGGCUGCCUGCACUGCCACGGCAACUUCUCUGAGAAAUUCUCCUUCUACCGCCACCACGUGAACCUCAAGUCCUGGUGGGUGGGCGACAUCCCCGUGUCGGGGGCGCUGCUCACCGACUGGAGCCAGGACACGAUGAAGGAACUGCACCUGGCCAUCCCAGCGGAGAUCACCCGGGAAAAGCUGGACCAAGUGGCGACACUUGUGUACCGGAGGAUGGACCAAUUGUACCAGGGAAAGAUGUAUUUCCCGGGGUACUUUCCCAAUGAGCUGCGGACCAUCUUCCGGGAGCAGGUGCGUCUCAUCCAGAACGCCAUCAUCGAAAGCCGCAUCGACUGUCAGCGUCACUGUGGCAUCUUCCAGUAUGAGACCAUCUCCUGCAACAACUGCACAGACUCCCAUGUCGUCUGUUUUGGCUACAACUGCGAGUCCUCGGUGCAGUGGGAGGCAGCUGUGCAGGGCCUUCUCAAUUACAUAAGUGACUGGCACAAGUAAGUCCCCUCCUCAAACCCAACAUGCCUUACCUGAGGCAGUGUGCACAUGUGAGCAUCUAGCUGGUGAGUAUGUGCAGGAAGCUGGCUCCCGAGGCUCCCACGUCCUAGGGGGACCACAAGGAGGCAGGUCCUGGAUCCCAAGAGUCUCUGAACUCAGCUAGAGGAAGGGGGUGGGGGUAUCAUCCUGGCUAAAGGAUCCCUGUAGAGUCCAGUUCCAGCUUGCCCCACUUCUGUGGCAGAGCUGUGGCCAGAGCCCAGGAGGGCUCCCCACAGCACAUGGAUGCAGGUGCCCCUGAAGAGCCUAACUGGGCCCCAUCUUGUCUUUCAGACAGGACAAGAGCAUGAGGUAAGGCCACCCCAGUCUGGCCUUCCAGAGGGGAGGGAAGGGCAGAGGGAGUGAGUGGAGAGGUGCCAUGUGUCCUCCAGUUCAGCGGGCACUGUGGGCAUGGCUCUCUCUGUGCCUGGGACAUGCCAAUGUCACCUCUGCAACCAUGCCUAUGUGGUCAUUUCAUGAACAAACCACUGCUGCUCCUCCUCUGGGCCUGGGACACACAGAACCACCCCAGCCUUCUUGGUAUCGCCGAGCUUCACAUGUCUGGAGCCCCAACAUCUGGCCAACCUGACUUUGGAGAUCGCCUCUGAGUGUCUGACCCAACACUGACAGCUACAAGGCCUGCCC